AGCGUAGGUGGCCUAACAUGUCAACUGUGAAAAACCCCGGAGCUCAACUCCGGACUUGCAGUUGAAACUGGUAGGCUUGAGGACGGUAGAGGAAGACGGAACUGCCAGUGUAGGGGUAAAAUCCUUAGAUAUUGGCAGGAACGCCGGUGACGAAGGUGGUUUUCUGGGCCGGUUCUGACACUGAUGCUCGAAAGCCAGGGGGAGCGAACG
rnacentral:rRNA from 1 species